UGCAGACGGAGCAGAAGGGUAUGUGGGGGCAGGGUUUACAAGGGUGAGAGGUCACAAGUCUCUCUCGGGCUGCUGCUUUUACCGACAAACAGAUCAAUGCAACCACGUUGCCGGAAUGAAACGAAUACGCCCCGACGCUCUUUAUUGCCAUCGUAUUUUUUUCCGUUUGUUUGGCUUGUUUACAAGAUGUCUUUUGGUGGCGAUUUACACCCUCGAAGAUGUCGUCGCCGGCGCGUCCACCCCACCCCCACAAACAGGAAAAACCACUAUAAAGGUGCUCUCGCGAUUUCAUGCAUGACAAAACGUUUUGUUUGUGCCAAAAAAGGGUCGCGCAGGUUGCAACAUCUGUGGCCAAGGCUGAGUGGAGUCGAGUGGAGUGGAGCUCGCUGCACUGCACGAUGAACCAGGCUUGACUUUCCUUCUUUUCCACCCUCGUGCAACCAACUCAAGAUUGAUUGGACAUUGUCUUGCUUGCAAUGGAGCACACCAAUCUCUUCUCGCCACCUAAGAUGAGCUGCUUGACCCUAAGGCCCUCCAGCUAAGGUGCAUCUAGUGUAGUAUAGUGAAAUACUUGAUAAUCUACUGCCCUAGUUGCUCCUUCUGGCUGGAGAGCUUUUUUUUUUUAUGCUGACUCUCCGAGGAGUUCUCUGCAAGGAAGCUGUGGGAGGGAGGGACUACACUUUAACACUAUUAACAUUUGUCAGAUAACUCCAAAAUCAUAAACCCCGCUGUUUAACGCUUGAAAAGAAAGUGCUCAUGUGGUUCUUUCUGGCUAACAAAUCAUACUUUGUCUUCAUGCCAACAAUCAACGGUGCAGAUAAUCCCAUUAUAUUACAUAGCCAGAUAAAGUGGAACCUCCGCAAGCCAUUCCAGGACACCGGUGGCAAUUUUAUCCAUAAGAUUUGAACAUUUAAGUCUGUUCCAAGGUCGAUCGAGAAUUGCAGGACAUUUUGGCUUCAAAAUUCUUGAAAACGAUUCAUUCACUUUUCUGAUUUUCUGCUAGACAUUCAUCAAUAAUAGGCAAUAAGCUAUCAAAUGCUUGAUUAGCUGUUUUAUUGUGAAAAAUAGAAGAGAGGAACUUUGAAGUGUGUGUCCCCAAGUGAUUUAGCAGAAAUAUUUUAUGACCUCAAGGGGUUUUGAGUUGACUUAACAGAUCCCAUUGUAUCUGUUAACAUUAAAUCUCUUCAUCUGUAAUGUUG